ACGAGUAAGGGUCCUCUAGGCCCGAUCCUCCCAACCCUUUGCUUACUCGACCAUCUGUUGCUUCGGCGAGCCCGUCCUCACGGACCGCCGGAGGACCCUCGCGGCCUCUGGCCCGCGCCCGUCGACAGCCCCACAUAAAUCUAACUAAACGCUGUAUGAAUCUAAUGUCUCAUGUCUAGUCAAUUGAAUUAAAACA
rnacentral:misc_RNA from 1 species